UACGUAGGGGGCAAGCGUUGUCCGGAAUCAUUGGGCGUAAAGCGCGCGUAGGCGGCCCGGUAAGUCCGCUGUGAAAGUCAAAGGCUCAACCUUUGAAUGUCAGCGGAUACUGCCGGGCUAGAGUCCGGAAGAGGCGAGUGGAACUCCUGGUGUAGCGGUGGAAUGCGCAGAUAUCAGGAGGAACACCAACGGCGAAGGCAGCUCGCUGGGACGGAACUGACGCUGAGGCGCGAAAAGCGUGGGGGAGCGAACAGG
rnacentral:rRNA from 1 species